GCCCUGGCCUUGGGCAGUCUGCAGGAUGAGGAGCCGUGCCUUGCUCUCCUGGGUGUCUGCCCACGAUCACAGGGCCAGUCACCAGGGCUGGAGCUGGCAGCCCUGUCGGGCGCUGCAGGGGCCAAAGAGGGGUGCUUGGCCUGGUGUCCUCAGCUUGGAUGAGGGGACUCAGCUACCCAAUGGGGCAGGAGGGAAAGGGGCGAUCUAGCCCUCAGAAGACCCCUCCUGCCCUUCCGUUUCCUGUCCCUUCCCUCUGAGAUCUCAGCCUCCAGUGGGAAGGCUCCACAGGUCUCUCGGGGGUGCAGAAUCCCCAUGUUGGGGCUGAGUCCUUCGAGGGUCUGAGAAAGAAGCUUGGUGCCUGGAUGGAGGUCAAGGCUGGAGGUCAAGGCUAGUGUCAGGGACCUUGGCUGCACCCCAAGCCGUGCCGAGGAGUUGCCACUGCACCGCUGGGCAGGCUCGGGAUGAAAUGAAUGCACGCUUCUCGGAAAUUCCAGAUUAGGAAAUUUCCAUCUCAAUUAAUGUAAAAUAAGUUAAGGUGGUAGGCACUGGAAAAUUAAAUGACACCUUCUUGGCAUCUCACGUUGGCGCGACGGCCAACUGAUUAUUUUUAUAUUACAAUCCCCAGGAAUUGUCAAAUUGAUUAAUAAAUUCAUUGAAAGCCCGUUCCUUCUUCAUAGAUUUAAUUUUGGUAGUCAGGGAGUAACUUUGCCGUGACCUUUGUGUCUCAGCUCUCUCUGUCUGAUAGUUAACAUGGGGUUAAUUGAGGUGGCCUUGGCUCCUGUCCCUCCAGGACCCCAGCCACCUCUGCAGCGGCAUGGUUUUCAGUGUCCCAAGGAAACAGGGAACCACCCUGAAGAUCCUGCCCGGAGGUGGCUUAUAAGCCGGGCAGCGUGGAUAGCCUGGAAGUCAGUCCCCCACCCAUGCCAGCCAGGUGACUUGUCCCAGUGGAGACCCACCAUCCUAGACUACUGGGAACUACUAAAAAUUGAGCACAAAAUAUAGCUCUGAGCUUCCUGGCAGAAAAGGCAAAAAGGGAAAAUCCACUGGUCAUGUGACUUUCCUGCUCUACUAUGUCUGACAGCCUCUUGGAUUGUUGAAGUGACACUAAUGGGACUGUCUAAGUGACGCUAGGCUGACAUUGGGGUGGCGCUUCCACAGAUCAUCUCUAAUCUCCAAACCAUAUCAGGCAAGUGCUGCCAUCUCCAUUUUUGGGGUGAAAACAUGGAUGUCCAAAGUUGGACAUGCCAUGGAUCUCCCAGCCAGCAAGUGGCUGAACCUCAUUGAGGAAUCAUUGUGGAAAGGAGCAGAGACUCAGGUCAGCAGGUGCAGAGCUGGCAAAUUCUGGAGCCCAGGGCUGGGGCAGGCGGCGUCCCCUCAGCAGUAGGCUUCUGAAUGCAGGUGGGUCACCCUGACUGCAGCUCCCUGUCUGCCGUCCUGCCUGACCCCUGCAGGGGACCUUCUCCUGAGUCACCUUCAUCCGCCCCUGUCCUUCAGUGCCUUGACUUCAGACCACAGGGACCUCAACUCCUCCAUCCGCCCUGUUCUCCUUCCCCUCUCACAGUUCCUCUCCUGCCUUCCCACCUGCUCAUCUGUUCUCCCUUGGGUCCUCCUUUUCCUCGGGGACCUCUCUUUUCCAGGGGACCCCUGACCUUCUAGUUGCCCGAUUCCAAGGUCACCCCUGAGGCCUCGCUGCUGGCUCCAGGCGGAGCGAGGGAGUGUGGAGGGCAUGAAGAGGAAGUGGCGGUGCCGGGGCUUGGGCCCAGUGGGCAAAGCUACUGAGGCCACAUCUCAGAACAGGAACUGGUAUUUGCCAGGAGGCGGGGGUCUCUGCGGGCUCCUCCUCUCAAAGCCCACCUCUGGGCUCCCCCAGGGGUCUGCAUCAGUCUUCGUGGGCAGGGUCCUUCCUCCAGAUGGGCUGAACUCAGAGACCCCCACCCUAAUCAGGGAAAAGCAACCCAGGCAGCCACCCUACCCGUCCCAGCCUCACUCCCUGCGCCCCGCCUUCACCGCCGCUCAGCCCCCUCCGGCCUUGACCUUACCCAGCGGCAAGUUGAGGAGAAACGGACUUGGUGAAAUAAGGCCUCAGCGUCGCUUUCUGAUUGGCCCGGCAACGCGCUUGCCAUUAACUUUAUGGCGCGAUACCCAAGGACUAAUUAAACCAGAUGGCGGCGAAACCUGCAUGGAGGCACCGAGACGUUUUUACAUUUAAGUUGAUCAAAAUUAGGUGAAACGGCAUAUGCUCGUGGAGAUUAGGAGUUUUUUAACUACAUAUUAACUGCUUUCUUAAUGCUCUUCCCGGUGAUCUCAGCGCAGCCCACCCCCUUUGUGCCAUUUAAUGCCUGUGAACCCCAGUCCCCGUCACCGCGACCUCGGGGCCGCGUGGUUUCGGUGUAAUUUAAGUGAGUGGGAUAUGCAGUGCAGACAUCGUCACCAUCAUCUGUGACAUUUGCUGCUGAGCGAAAUGGGGGCCUGCCCCCUACUCUCGGCAGGAGCUGUGGGCCUCUUCCCUGUUGGAGCCUGGGAAUGCCUUGGAGAAGGCCACAGUCGCGGCAAGGUGAGCCCCGCUCUGAGCACUGCAGAGGGAAGCCGGGUUGCACAGGACGCCUCUCCUGGCCCCUGCUUAGCGUCCCAUGUCUGGGCUCGGGGAAUGUGGUUCAGGACAGGGGUGGCCCUUCAUAGAAUCCCCCAAAUUUAGAUGGAGGAGGAGGUGGCCAAUGCCUUCCAGGAGGUUGGUGGCUGCAGCCCCUGCCAGACAAGCAUUGACCCGCCUCCGGGGCAGUGCUUGUGGCCUCACAGCCGUGCCAGGCAGUGUGUGGCGGGGCCUGUGGGGAUGUGCACAGCCCCGUCCGGGGCCUGCCCUCAGAAGGGUCGGGCUGCCCUUACAGGCUUUCAAAUGUCUUAUGUAUUUAUUUUUUGCUUAGCAAAAUUCACAUAACAGAAUGAACCCUGUUUGAGACGGCACUCUGCCGGCCCCACUGCAGCCGAGUUCUUGUUUCCGUCACCCCAGAAAAAGGCCCCUGCCUAGGGAGCGAUCCCUCCCAUGGCAGCCAUUCCCCCAGCUGCGGAAGCUCCUGCUCUCACAGACCUUCAGAAGCAAAGCCUGCAGAGUCCUCUCCAGACUGGGCACUCGGACGUCCACUUGAGGUCCUCUCUCUCCUGUCCCCAGCAGGGAAGCCAGGGCAACUGCUACAGCGUCCAGCAGGGACCGGCUCUGGGCCCAGCCUACGCCAGCAGGUGCUGAGCAGGCCCUGUCCUCCCUAGGUCCCAGGUCCCAGGUCCCAGGUCUGACUUCAGAGGGUCCUAGCCACCCAGGGCGGCUGGGAGGUGCAUGAUGGGAAGCAGCCCUGAGACCCCCGCCACCUCCUCUUAGGAUGUGCCCAUGCCCUGCCUCUGCCGUCCCUCCCCAGCUGCCCAAGGGCUGACUGCUGUGAGCACAGGGUUCCAGGCAGUGUCCCAGGAGCAAACUGCGACCUGGCCCUGGGCCUUGGAGCCCCAUGCUGCUCUCCACCGAGGAUGCUGGGCUGCUCUGCCCUGCACUCAGACAUCUGGGUUCUGACAGCCCGCUGGGCCCUGUGCCACCAGAGGCCUUGAAUUGCAUCCUGGUGGGAACCAGCCCCUCAUGUGGGGCAUGCACAGACCCCGGACUGGGCCAGGGCUGCCCAGUCCUGCUGCUGGGAUGCUGGGAUCCCCAUGUCCAGCAGCUGCGGUGAGGCUGUCCUGUGUGCUUCCCAGGGCCGGCCCUGCCCCACCACCUCCUCCCUUUCCCCUGGGCCGGCCCUGCCUGCCGCCUCCCCUCUUUCCCCUGGCCCUUCUGUGGGCUGCUCCUCCCCCACCCUCUCUGGGCAGGCGCAGCGGGUGGGGGUGAGGUUCUGGCAAAGCCCCCUCUGUUUUCCAGCCCAGUGGCGCUCACAUGUGACGCUGCGGGGGCAGCAUCAUGAAAAGCCCCUUUGUAUCUCCUCCCUGAUUAAGAAAUACCAGCAGGCCCCAGGAACCCAGGCUCCACGUCCUCUCUGAAUGCUGGCCAUGGUCACAGGCGGCUGGAUGGGCAGGCCCAGCAGUGGACUUCAAGGAAGAAUCCCCCCAGGCCCACCAGGCAGCCCUGCUGCUUCCUGGGGGGCUCCUCUCAUGUUGUCAGGCCACCUGAACCUCAGCUUCUGAGGCAAAGGCUUGGAGAGAACCCACAGUUCUCCAGUUCCUGUCACUGAGCCGGCCUUCCCCUCCAGCCUGGGAGGUCAACUCUCCAGAGAAGGGCUGCCCAGCAGGGAGGCCGACCGAGGGGAGCCCUGAGAUCCCUGAUGAGAACGGGGAGCCUGCAGAGGAAAUGGGCUCCCUACGGUCACCAUCACGCCCAGCGAGGCUCCAGCCCAGCUUCUUUCUGGGAGUGCUGUGCCCAGGAUCACCCUGGGAUAGGCAAGUGCUGUCACCUCUUUGCCUGGUGACUCUUUACACCCACAUGGAAGAGAAGAACGAUACUUUUACCCACCUGCAGGAGGGACACACAAGAGCCGCCCCAUCCCCCUUUCCCCCUAGGGUGACCAGGUGGCCAGCAGCCCCCAGCUCACCUGUCCCGCAGCUGACCUGUCCCCCAGCUCACUUGUCCCUCAGCUCACCUGUCCCUCCAGAGCUGUCGGCCACCCUGGAGGGAGGGUGCGGCCGGGAGGACCCCCGGGGUCUCCACCGGCUGGGCUGGACCUCACCGAGUCAGCAGCCUUCAGUGGCUGACCCCAGACCAAGAGCUAUAGGGUAGUUUAAAUUUGAAAAUUAACACGGAAUCAAAAGAGACAGAGUAAUUUUUCAUUCUGCUUGAAAGGUUAUUUGCUUUCUCAACUGAUGCUUAGUGUACUGAUAUAUGAUGUCAAAAGGUAAAUGAUUUUAAACCAGAUUCAAUUUAAAUUUCAUUACAUAUUUGUAGGAGGCUCCAAGAAUCCCGCGUCUUCCCUUCGAGGACCUUUCACUUCUAAUAACUCUGGUGCCUGGUGCUCUAAUCUGUUUAUUACGCAAUCGCGCAGUCGCAGGGGCCGUGCUUCUCAGACUGAGAAUCGGAGUGUCCAUGCCACAGGCUGUGGUCUCCAGGGCGGCCCUUCAGGAGUCUUGCCGCCUCUGAUCUUGGGUCUUCUCUGCCAUCCCGGGCAAAACACACGUCCUUUUAUGUCAAUGGGGAGUGUCCUCCGUGAAUGCAGACUUGGGGUCUGGGCCUUCUGUGGCUGCCGGGCCAGGAGAGACGGGGAGUGGUGGGAGGUGGGACAAGCAGGAGGCCUGGACCAGGAUCAGAAGCUGAAACAGCUCAGCGGAAGCUGAGGGCGGUGGCAGGCAAAUGCGUUUUGGAGCCCUGGGCUCCUCAUGGGCAACUGGAGUGCUGUAAGGAAUGGAACCCUUCGGGGCCUCUCUGUUGGAGGGAGGUGAGCAGAGCAGGCUCCGUGUCUGCUGCCCGUCCCAUUCCUGGCUGCACCUUGGACCAGUUACCCAGCCUCUCUGUGCCAUGGAAACAGGGUAAUGGCAGCACCACUGUGCUCAGCGGGAAUUAUGUCCCCUGGAACCUCAGAAUGUGACUUUAUUUGGAAAUUGGGUUAUUGCAGAUUGAAUUAGUUAAGUUGAGGUCACACUAGAGUUGGGUGGGGCCUGAAUCCAAUGCCCAGUGUCCUUAGAAGAUGCAGAGAGACACUGAGACCCAGAGGAAAAUGCCCUGUGGAAACAGGUGGAGAUGGGGGUGACAGGGCUGGCAGCCAAGGAGGUGUGGGGUGGCCAGCCACGCUGGAAGCUGGAGCUCCCAGAGGGAACCGUCCUGCCGACACCUUGACCUUGGACUCCGGGUCCCCAGAACUGUGUGAAAAUAAUUGCCACUGUGUGAGGUGCUGGGUUUGUGGGAUUUUGUUAUGGCAGACACAGGACACUAACACGCCACCCUCGGGGCAGGCGCGGGGGUCCCUGGAACGAGCUGGGCCCAGGCCACACUGGGAAUCUGUUGGCUACAUCCAUCCUUCUGUCCAUUCCACAGUGCAUGGGCUCACCCAAAGGCCUGGGGCCUGAGGCUGUUCCAACACCCACAGCUCAUCCGUCAGCUGGUGAAGUGGCCGACUGCCAUCUGAUUCUGCAGGUGGAACAGCCUAUCAGAGGAAGCGUUUUGGAGAGGCCCCUGCACCCAGCAAUGCCACGUCGGGGAGGGAGAGCCAGAAUGCCUGCCGUUGGGGACUUGAGAUUAAUUUGGUGGUGGUCCUAGACGGAUGUGAGGCAUUCGGAGACAGAACAGUUGGGCAGGGGCUUUGGGGCAGAGCUGGGGCAGUCUGGCUUGGCCUUCAGCAAGAGGGGGCAUGGACUGCCCACACCAGUGCAGAGGGGCGGAGAGAGCCUGCUGGGCCCAAGGGAACAGGCAGCCUUCCCUUAUGUUGCCAGAAACUGCUUCCACGUCCUCUCGUCUUGUUUAGGGGCCGCUGUCUUGCAGACCCUGGGCUUCAGCACGUCCCUCAGGCCAGGGCCGGGGGGUCCCAGAGUGGGAUGAGAGGCCAUGAUCUACGCAGGGGAGGACCCGUCCCUACCAGAAGCAGCCAAUCCCUGAAGAGCCCAGGUGGCUGAGUUCUGGCGUGUUCAAAAGCUGUCUCUUUGUAGGGUUGUGUGCGUGGGAGGUUGGAUUUUCUUUGGAAAUUGAUUGCCUGUUGAAUUCUUCCCACCACGGCUGUCGUCCUGCAGGAUCGGGGCAUGUGGGGAGGCUGUGAAUGGGCUUCCUCCGGCCCAUCUCGCCACUUAACUGCCGUAUCAUCGCUGCUGUGGCUUUGUUUACCCAGCAGGACUUGGUUUUAAAUGCACAUCUGGGCACUUUAAAAAGUAAUGUCUGUGCCUUCCAGGAACCCCUCCCCCGAUUUGGGCCUGUUCUAUUUUGCAACAUCCAACAGUGAGGAAUGGAAGGUUCCAGAUCGCGGCCCAGGGACCCCUGGGAUUAAGGUUGCAGCCGCCCUCUUGCCAGGCAGGAGCUUCCUUCCCGCCCGACUUUCGACUUUCGCUUGGCUUUGCCCCCACCUCACGCUCCCAUUUUCUCUCCUUUCUGCAAUGCUAAUGAUAUUGUUUGUUCUCCCUGCCACACAUAAAAAAGCACAGGAUAAUCACCCAGGCAUUAGUCAUCAUUAAGCUGGUGAUAAAAACAAAAAAAUCCUGAAGUGCUGUUUCCAGGAUGGGUGUCGUGCUUGCGAUGAAUGGUGUUUGUUACAAAUGUGGGUUUCAGGGAUCCAUCCAGUCAGCCGCACCAGAGACGGCAGACGCGUGUCUGCAGACGGACCCCGUCCUUUAGGUGUGAAAGGUAAAUACGGAGAGAAGGUUCCUUCGCAGCCCGGAACUGCCCCGGUCCUCGCUGGGCUUCUCAUUAAAGCAUCGUGCCCACCUCUGGUGCUGUCGGGCUCCUUAGCGGGGCUCUCGGCUCUCACCUGGCAUCUGUAAACUUGGAGUUGGCAUCAGGGCCAGGAUGAGCUUCGUGUGGAGGGUGCAGAGGACGGUAGAUUUGGGGCUCCUGCCCAUGCCAAACUCGGGGUGGGGCUCGGGCCACAGGGAGGACAGAGGCCGAGCUCCCGGCCAGCCCGUGCCCACCCUCCAGAUGCGGAGGGCAGAGUGGAGUGCUGGCUCUGGUGCACCUCGUGGUUACUUUCCUUGUGGCCAUAUUCCUUUGGAUACGGAUUCCCAGAACACGUGUCUGCAAGGAACGGAACACAUGACAGCCAGGACGUUUUAUUGUGUAGGUUUUUGCCCACGGGGAAGCUUGAGGUGGACAGCCCAAGGCUGGUGAUUGCCGUCCAAGACUGGAACCUCCCCCCCCCGCCCUCCCUCUGUCCCCAGCAUCCACCUGUGGUCUCAGUGGCAGAGCCUGUGGCGGUUCUGGGCCUUGUGUCUGCAGGUGGGAAGGGCAGCAGCUGCCUCAGGAGCUCUGAAUGGGUGACAGGCUCCCGGAAUGGCCGUGGCUGGGGGAUGCGCCCAUGGGCUGGGGGAUGCAGAUCCCCCAGGGCUGGAGAAGGCCGCCUCCCGUCCACUGGCACCCACAGCCCCAGGGCUUGGCUCCGUCCUGCGCCAUCCUGGAGUCUCCUCUCAGUGGGUGGUGGGCCCCUGGGGGCUGGGGCUGUGACUCUACACCCUCACCCUCCACUUCCGGAAACUGAGGCUGCCUGGGGUGGGUGCAGGGCCAGGCAAGGUUAGGCCCCCCCACAAGAGGCAGCCUGAAGCCCUGCCCUGGCACAGGGCGAGUCCUCUCAUCUGCCUGAGGGAGUCAGGCACCGGGCCUGAGUCUCUCAUCCGCCCAGUGAGGAAGGACGUGCCCUUCACAGCCCAGGCCACGGGAGAGACUCCCUGAGAAUCUGUCUGCGUUUUGUGGCCACUCGUGGAGGGUCACACGGGCCUGUGGGUGGAAGUUUGGGGUCAACUAUAAGUCUGCCCAAGGAGCCUGCAUGUCCCCGGGCUGGCCUAUCCCUUGGCACUCUGGCUGGGAGGCCUCCCAGCUCCAAGGUAUAGAGGGUCUGCUGUCCACCAUGUUUCUGUCCUGGGGGGACAGAGGGCGAGCCUGCUGAGCACAGGGCAAGACACUUCCAGUGGGAAGCCAGGAAUAGCCCGAAGGGGCUGUGACCUCUGGUGCCCUCCAGGGAGGGGCUGUGUCAGCUCCUCCCCAGCGGGAGACCGAGAGCCCAUGGGUCAUAGUGGAGGAUGGCCAGAUGGGGUGGGCAGCAGCCUGGGAGCGGCUGGGGCCAGGGUCAAGACAUCCAGCUCAUGGGUCUCCAUCCCCUCCCCUGUGGCUCUCGCCACAGAACCCUCCUGUGCCCUGCAUGGAGCCCCUGCUGGAGGCAGCCCGGCUCGGUGGGUACUUAAUGGUGCUUGGCUCCUGUGUUCAUGGGCAGUGCUGCAGGACAGGGCUGGGGGCCAGGGGGCUGAGGUGCUGGGGGCUGGGCUCCAUCAGGGCCAGUUCCCCUUGCAUGCCAUCCACGGGACCCUACGGGGAAGGACGAAGCCAGCCCCUGAGUCAGCAGAUGCCCCUGGGCCCCUUUUUGGCCAGCUUCUGGCAUUCUGCUGGGAUGUGGGGUGACACUUAUCUCCUGGUUCUGGGCUACUUGAGCAGGAAGGAGGCCUUGGAUGGAAAACUUUGGGCCCUCUCUGCUCCUGGAGUCCCCAGGCUGCCCCCAGCCCCUGGCUCUGCCUUCACCUGCACUGGACUGGGUGCUGCUCCUGGGUCUGCUGGUGCCCAGUCAGCCCCCUGAGCUGACCCCAACUUAGGUCAGGGCUGCACAAGGGGAGACAUCCCGGGGGCCCAGGAAGGAGCCACACCCAGGAAUCCGCAUUCCUGGGCAGCCCGGACUUAAUACCAAGUGGCUUUAGGGGGAAGCCCAACCCUAGCAGCUGAAAAUAGGCCAGGCAGACGCCAGACCAGUCUGGGUGUGGGACGCAGGGUCCUUCCUGCCGACGGGAGGCAGGUGAGAAGUGUGCCAGGGCUCAGGUGGCUGGUGCUGGCCUUUGAAGGCACCGCGGGCUGCCCAGGCAAGGUGCCCACAGCUGCCAUUGCAUGUGGUCCCAGCCCGUUCCGUGGCCGGCCGGCCUGUGCUGCCCAUCAGAGGGUGGAAGCAGGGUGGGAAGAUGGUGUGAUGUCGCCUCCCCUGUUUCUAUUGCCGUGGAUCUUAUUUUAGUCCAUUAUUGCUGGUUUUUUUGGGAUUCCGUGUCCUCCCUCCUGUCGGGCCAGUUUUUCUUUGUGUAGCUGGCAGCCCACCGCUUCCGACGCUGACUUCAGGGCCUCGGGAUUGUCUCAGAAGCCUGUGUGGCUUUGACAGCGUGGGGGCUGGUGGGAGGCUCUGCCGGGCUGUGCCUUUGGAUCUGGAGUGGAGAGGAAGCUCCUUUUGCAGGCGAGGGCUUCUGUGAGCUCGGUGCAGAUCUCUGGGAUGGAGACACCCCACCCUGCAUUCCCCAAGGCCACGGGGAGGAGCCCAGCAGCACCUCGGCCUGGACGCUCAGUCACAGACGCCGUGCUGGACACGUGGCAGUCGAAACAGGACCUUGGUGGCAUCCAGGAAGUUCUGGAACAUUCUCAGCCUGAGAUUCGGAAAAGGCAUCAGCCUUCCCCUCCUCCCAAAACACACAGGAUGGCUGGAAGCUGGUCCCCACCCCUUCCAGGGCCCCCCAGAUGGGGCUUGGUUAGUUCUCACGCACAGGAUCUGGCGCACGUGCCACCGGACAAGGACACCCAGGUGAGUUGCUGCCCCAGCCUAUGGGUGAGACCCUGCACCGAGCUUCCCCAGGGCCAGCAGGGGCAGGCGGCUGGACCAGGGGUGUGCUCUGCACCAGGAUCUGGAAACAGUGACUUCCCCUCCCUGUGGGCUGAUGUGGAGUCUUCCCUUACACAGGCAGGACCUUCUGCACCCAAGGCUGUUCCUUCCCUGCUUGGGUUCCUAGGACAGUCUCUGAUCCAGGCGGGGGUCUCUCUGGGUAUCUAAGCCGGGUGUCUGUGCCCAGCCGAUUCUCCCUCUUCCUCCAUCUGCAAAGCUGGUGGCCCCGAGACUUCUCUCUGCCCUGCCCUCGGCUUUUGUCCUCAUGUCUUCUCUUGCUGGCUCUGAUCUUCCUGCCUCCCCUCAACUUACCAGACCCCCAGUGUUGAGUUAGAGCUCACUUGGGGGGCCCAGGGUCCUCUCCUAUCCCAAGACCCUUGACUUAAUCACGUCUGAAAAGGUCCCUUGCCCUGUACCACGACCCAUUCACCGGCUACAGAGAUUAGGAGGUGAGCAUCUUUGGGGGCAUCACUCACCCCAGGGAAUGCACCCGCUGUGGGGGUCCCACCUUAGGCCGAUGACCUUGGGGUCAGGGAGCAGCCUGAAGCCGCCAAAGAAGGACCCUUGGAGACGCAGAGGGCUUGGUCCACACCCACUCCACCCCGCCAGGUGCCCGCUGCCCGCUUCAGCUGUUGGACUCUGCUUCCAGUGCUCAUUCUCGCAGAAUGCCCCUCCCCCUCCCGGUCCUCCCACUCAGUGGUCCAGGUCCACCCUCUGCCUCAGUGGUCCCCAGGCUUGAGCAUGCAUCUGAAUCCCGUGGGGGCUUGUGGACCAACAGAUCACUGGGCUGAAACCACGGUUUCUGAAUCAGGGGUCGGGCGAAGGACCCAGAAGCUGCGGCUGCCGCUGUCCCAGGGCCCUACCUGGAGAAGCCCCGCCUACCUGAGCCACCUGUUCUCUGCCUCCCAACCCCUGCAGCGGCGUGGUAAUGUGGGCGGCUCAUUCCUGCCUCACUCUCCCCACCUGUGGAGAGGCGUCCCAAGGACUCCACUUGCGCCCUGCCUCUUAGAUUGCUGUCAUGCUGGACAAGGGCACUAGAUGGCCCUAGUCCAGAUUUGGAGAAUGUGUGUAGGGCACCAGCCUUGGCAGGUUUCAGGGUCUCUGCACUCACCUAGUCUCAGUCACUGCCAGGGGAGCCAGGGCCUCACCUUACCGAUGGGGAAACAGAGGGUGCUUGCCUGCGGCCCUGUAUGGGUGCUCCCAGCAUGAAGGGGCUGCCCAGGGCCAGGACCCAGUCUGGCCACCUCUCAUUGUCCACCCUGCCGCCCUCCUCCAUCUCUGAGCUGGGGCUGUGCCGUCUGUGCCUUUUAGGAGGGUCCCUGCACCCUGGCCAGGAGCCCUGGGAGCUUUCCACCUGCAGGGAUCCCCCACUGUGUACCCUUGGCUGGCUCCCAGAUCCUUCUUGCGGGGGGCAGAGUGGGAGCAGGUUCCCCAGCCAAGCCUUCCUGGAGCUUUUGCCUCAGAUGCAUCUGUAUCCUGGCCACCUGAGCCCUCAGAGUCCCUGGUCCACAAGGGAGAGGCAGACCUGCCUCUGCAUGUCACUUUGCUCACUCCCAGUCAACUCUGCGUGCUGGCCUCAGCAGGCUGACCACACGGGCGGCCACUGCCCCCGGAGCUCCCUCAUCGGUGCCUCCUUCCUGGUCCUUACAAGAAGAGACAACAUCGCUGAGCGCAUUUGCAUGUCGAUCACGCUGCCAUUAUGUUUCUAGGAGUUUUCAUCAUGAGAAGAAUGAGAUAAUCAUGUUGUAUGUACUGAAUAGACUUAGGAAGAUUGCAAGGCGGCGCUUUCAUUGGAAGAGGGGAAUUCGUUUAAAAAUACGCUGUCAAAAUAUGUUGUUCUAAAUGCUGAGUUGAUGGUUCUUUUGUUUUGCUUUGUUUCUUCAAUGUGUCAUUAGAAAAAAUUAACAGUGACAUCAGCUGUGAGGUGGGACUGCGGCUUCUCUAAAGGGGGGAGGUGCUGAGUUGUCCUUGGGAUUUUCUUUCACUUGACAUAUUCUCUCUCUCCUUAUGAGGCCCACCAUGACCUUUAUUUUCCAUUUACUGAAAGUCGGAUGUGUGCCUUUGCAGAACUCAGAUGGACGGUACUUCCUGGUCACAGCCCUGCCCAUGCCCCUGUGGACCCCUGCUGGCCUCCCCUGGGCCGACUGACCAGGCCUGGGAUGAUGCCAAGUCAGAGGCGACCCCAUGGCCCUCCCUGUGGCUGACCCUCUGACUUCGCACCCUGUAAAGGUCAAGUUCCGUGUGGAGCCUAACUGCAGCCCAGGCCUGGGGGGAGGUUCUUGAGACCCGAACGCGCCCAGUUCUUACAGUGCGGCUGCUGCUCUGUGUUUCUGAAUGGAUCAGCAGCUAUGCUGUCAUCUGACACCUGCUUAUGGAGAGGGCAAGGCCGGGGCAGCAGGACCUCGGACAGCGAGGUGGACUCCUGAGCUGCUGCAGCUGCCCAGAGACAGCCGGCCUUCCCCUGGGCGAGGCCUCCAGACGGGAACACUGAGGAAGGACACGUGUGUACAGUGCUUGGGGCAGAGACAUGGGGCAGGUACUGACUUCGCAGCUUCCUUCCAGCUCUGGCGAGACUGCCUGGAAGGGAGGUGAGUUUCCACCGCAGGCCUGUUGGAGCCCUGUGGAAGCCUCAUCCCACCCAGGCUGGAGGUGGCAGGAGGACCCAGGGCUCUGCUGGCCCCUCCCCCAGCUCAGACCCUGCCUGGGUCAGCCUCUGUUGUAGUUGAGGAGAACAGCUUUAGGUCCCAGAAUGGUGGCCGGGAGGUCAGAGGGAGGUGCCUGAGAUGCACCUGGUGUCUCACGGGUGGGUGGAGCCCGCGUGAGGCUUCAGGCCCAUUACACGUGAGUAGCCCUGAGAGGUCCAGUCACGCCUUCCCAGGCGCUAUUCUUCAGGCACUUCUGAGAUGCUUUUUUUUUUAUGGCUUUUUCUCCUCUCUGGAAUUGGGAAUGUCAUGUGACUCUUGUCGCUGGGCACCAGACAGGCAGGUGAAAGGGGCAUAGGCAGAGCUCCCUUGGCCGCCUGGGUCCCUGGUGCCUUUCCUCUCCUCCUCUAGAGGUCCCGUGAUAGUUCUGAUGGCAAUGGUGACAUUGGUUCUCAGGUAAGGACACUGAAGGUCAGAGGUGCUGGAAACUCAUGAAUUAGGAGCCUGGUGUGGUCCUGGUUCCUGACGAGCUUCGAGUGGAUUGAGAUGGGAGUGGGCCUGGGGGCUGCUGCAUUGUUAGGGCGAGGACCCCUGGAAGGGGUCCCUCACAGCCCAGCACCCCUGCACCCUGCACUGGCUGCCUCCAGCCACUGCACCCAGCCCCGCCCUGUGCACACCCUCCCCACCACACUCCUUCAUGGGGUUCAGUUCCCAUCAAGGGUGGUCUUCACCCCCUAAGAACCUAGGGCUUGCGCCCGAGUCUAGGCUUGUCCACCUGCCCCACCUGUGAUGUGGCCUCGAGGACUGUGGCUUGGCAGGUGCUUAGGGAGUUUGUGUAAUUAACCGAUGCUUUAGGUCAGCAAAGACGCAGUCUGAGUGUGAUUGCAGGUCAGCACUGUGGAAAGAGCCAGGAACACCCUGAAAGCAGGGUGGCCCCAAGUGUGUACGCAGGGCCGGUGGGCAGGACCCCACUCAGAAACUGUGCACUUGCACCAGGAGUGGGGCUGGGGGACAAGCGGGGUCUGUGGCACCCCUGACCUGGCUGUUUUCCUCAGGGACAGGAACCCUUCUCUAGGGGACAGAGUCCCAUUGUGACCUGGAGGAGGGAGGGGAAGCAGGGAGUUCAGGUGAGCUCCCCGCCUGGGGAAAGGCUCAGGCGGGUGGGGCACAUAAGGCUUGGAGUGGCUGCCUAGUGGGGUUGCCUCUGAAGGGUCCUAGCAAGCCAGUGACUGCUUAAACCACCUCCUCUUUUGAGAGUUUGCUCUGGCUCUUCAUGCCUAUGACCUGGGUGGCAGAGAAAUCAAGGUGGAGGCUGUUGAGGGUGUCCAGGCAGGAGAUGAGGGUGUCCGGCAGGAGACGGGGGUGUCCAGGCAGAGAUGGGGGUGUCCAGGUGGAGACGAGUGUGUCCAGGCGGAGACAAGUGUGUCCAGGCAGGAGACGGGGGUGUCCAGGCAGGAGACGUUGGUGUACAGGCGGAGACGGGGGUGUCCAGGCAGGAGAUGAGGGUGUCCAGGCAGGAGAUGGGGGUGUACAGGCAGGAGAUGGGAGUGUCCAGGCGGAGACGGGGGUGUCCAGGCAGGAGACAGGGGUGUCCAGGCGGAGAUGAGGGUGUCCAGGCAGGAGACGGGGGUGUCCAGGCAGGAGACGAGGGUGUCCAGGCAGGAGAUGGGGGUGUCCAGCUGGAGAUGAGGGUGUCCAGGCAGGAGACGAGGGUGUCCAGGAGGAGAUGAGGGUGUCCAGGCAGGAGAUGAGGGUGUCCAGGCAGGAGAUGGGAGUGUCCAGGUGGGAAAUAGGGGUGUCCAGCGGUUUUUGACCAGGCUGAACUGUGGCAGAAUCAGGAUUUUCCAUAAAGACAGGAUGAUGGGUUGGGUGCGUGGACAGGAAGGGUAGGUGAGCAGGCCCCCUCAGACCUCUGUCCUCCAGUGGGUGCUGUGGGAGUGGUGGUAGCCCUCGAGUCACAGUGAGCCAGGAAGGUGCAUGUGGCGGAGGAAAAUUCUGGAAGGAAGAGCUUCCAGGUGGAUAUUGGGGCAUUGGGGGCCUUCCUUCUCCCUUCACGGGGCUUUGGACACCCCUUUGAGGACUGAGCUUGUGGAUGCAGAGGCUGUGGGCCCUCUGGACACCUCCUGAGGACUGAGCUGGUGGCUGAGGGGCCGUGGGCCAUGUGGACACCCCCUGAGGACUGAGCUGGUAGCUGAGGGGCCGUGGGCCCUAUGGACACCCCCUAAGGACUGAGCUGGUGACUGAGGGGCCGUGGGCCAUGUGGACACCCCCUGAGGACUGGCUGGUGGUUGAGGGGCUGUGGGCCAUGUGGACACCCCCUGAGGACUGAGCUGGUGACUGAGGGGCCGUGGGCCAUGUGGACACCCCCUGAGGACUGAGCUGGUGGUUGAGGGGCCGUGGGCCAUGUGGACACCCCCUGAGGACUGAGCUGGUGACUGAGGGGCCGUGGGCCAUGUGGACACCCCCUGAGGACUGAGCUGGUGGUUGAGGGGCCGUGGGCCAUGUGGACACCCCCUGAGGACUGAGCUGGUGGCUGAGGGGCCGUGGGCCAUGUGGACACCCCCUGAGGACUGAGCUGGUGGCUGAGGGGCCGUGGGCCAUGUGGACACCCCCUGAGGACUGAGCUGGUGGCUGAGGGGCCGUGGGCCAUGUGGACACCCCCUGAGGACUGAGCUGGUGGUUGAGGGGCCGUGGGCCCUGUGGACACCCCCUGAGGACUGAGCUGGUGGCUGAGGGGCCGUGGGCCCUGUGGACACCCCCGAGGACUGAGCUGGUGGCUGAGGGGCCGUGGGCCCUGUGGACACCCCCUGAGGACUGAGGUGGUGGCUGAGGGGCCGUGGGCCCUGUGGACACUCCCUGAGGACUGAGGUGGUGGCUGAGGGGCCGAGGGCCCUCUGCUCUGUGGGGCUGGGCUGAGUAGGGUUGGGGAUCCCUGGCAUCUGCAGAGCCUCCUGUGUUGAUGACCUGCACCGCCUGCUCUGCCUCCAUGAUGACUCGAGAAGGACGAGGCUUCACCUACAUUUUGCAUGCAUGAGGAAUUGAGUGUAAGUCUCGUCUGCUCCCUGCCUGUGACAUCGAGCAGGGUGGUCUGACAAAUGGGGCAUCAGGAGUCUUGGUGCUGCCUGUCCCUGAAGUGUCUUCCUGAGGAAACACAGAGUGAAGGAACCUCGGGAGGGCACAGGGGCUGUCACCUGCUAGAGCCCAGGGAGGGAAUGCACAGGGUGCUGUCCUGGGGCCAGCAUUCCGCUUAAAGGAUCAGCUUCGAGUCUUGGUUGACCACUGGAGACUAUGGCCAGGGAUCUUGGGAUGGUUCAGGGGAACAUGCUGCAGGCUGACAGAGAGAGAAACUGAGGCCCAGAGUGGAAACUAGGGUGGUCAGGGCUCCUCCCAUCUCUUCCCCUGCUAGGUGGUGGGAAAGAAACCAGCGGCUCCCAUGGCUCCCUCCCCUCCCGUCCCUUCUGCUUGGGCGAAGCAGAUCCCUCCUCCAGUGGGCUCCUGUCUCUCCUCUCCAACUGUCCACGUCACAUGGGACCUGCUCUGCUGGAUUUGGGCCAGGGGUCAUGGCUACCUGGUCCACCCCUGACCCCCAGGCCCACCUCCUCAGGGGAAGGGUGGCAGAAGGAGUUCUUAGGCAGUGAGGUUUCGGGCAGGAGAGGUGACCCCAGCGCAUGUGGAUAUGGGGACUGGCAAAGCAGGAGAGCAAUGUCCCUUGGGUUCCAAAGGAAAGUGGCUGAGAUUUCACAGUGACACAGACAUUGAGCUUCCACUGUGCAGGGACACCCUGUGCAAAGCAGUGCCCCUGCCCACCCCAUCCCCAGCCUUGUUAGGGGACUGGCAACCCUCAGACCUGCCAACCAGCAGGAGCUGCCCAUGGGCAUGUGGGUAGUCUCAGGGAGUUGGCCGGAGGGUGGCUGGGGCAGCCAGGGACUACCACACUGCCUGCCAAUGUGGUCAGGCCUGCUUCAGGCCCAGGAAGUGUGGGUCUGCCUGGGGGGCCUUCUGCUUGCGUGAUGAGCUGAGCAGCCCCUGGCCAGCCCUCUUGGCCUUUCA